AUGGAGGACCACCACAGGCCUGAGGUGCGGUCAGGAGGGUACAAGCUGGACCUGGAUAGCUGGUACCUCUCCCUGGCCUACGGGGACCCCUUUGCCUUGAUGAAGGUGAACACCGCUGCACCGGAGGGGUUCAGAGCCUGAGAACAUGACCGCAUCACAUCCCCCGCACACAACACUUGCCUUACCCCACACUGCAGUACUUGACCUAAUGCCACCUGGUCAAGGGUACUGCUACAGUACGUCCACUCAUCCGAGAUUUCCUGGCCACUGAGAUAGGAAGGGCGUGGAGGGGGAUGGAAAGAUGGGAGAGGGACAGGAGACCCUGG